rnacentral:tRNA from 1 species
CGGCGUGUAGCUCAGUCAGGAGAGCACCGGGCUCGGGACCCGGAGGGCGCGGGGGCAGAGCCCGCCACGCUGGCUA